rnacentral:misc_RNA from 1 species
UCUCCGUUGGUGAACCAGCGGAGGGAUCAUUACCGAGUGCAAACUCAUAACCCUUUGUGAACCUAUAUCUGUUGCUUCGGCGGCUCGCUCUCGGGCGAGCCCGCCGGUAAUAUCAGUAUUUCUGUUUGAACCCGACGAUACUUCUGAGUGUUCUUAGCGAACAGUUAAAACUUUUAACAACGGAUCUCUUGGCUCUA